UGCAGCUGAUUGGCCUCCAACAAUGCAAAUAGUUCGCCUUAUAUCUCAGGAUCACAUGAACAACAAGCAAUAUGUUGGCAAGGCAGAUUUCUUAGUUUUCCAAGCACUAAAUCAGCACGGUUUUCUUGGACAACUACAAGAAAAGAAGCUUGUGAGUCAUUUGAUACCGUUGCAUCCUCCUCCUGGCGAUACAUCAACACCCCUCCUGGUGAUACAUCAACAUAGGGAACCGUACAGAUUAAUGGCAUUAAAGAACAAAUUGAAUCUGCAAAACAAUUGGUCAAUGAAGUCAUCAGUGAGGU